GUGAGGAAUAUUGGACAAUGGGCGCAAGCCUGAUCCAGCCAUGCCGCGUGCAGGAAGACGCAUCUAUGGUGUGUAAACUGCUUUUGUACGGGAAGAAACACUCCCUCGUGAGGGAGCUUGACGGUAUCGUAAGAAUAAGGAUCGGCUAACUCCGUGCCAGCAGCCGCGGUAAUACGGAGGAUCCAAGCGUUAUCCGGAAUCAUUGGGUUUAAAGGGUCCGUAGGCGGUUUAAUAAGUCAGUGGUGAAAGCCCAUCGCUCAACGAUGGAACGGCCAUUGAUACUGUUAGACUUGAAUUACAAGGAAGUAACUAGAAUAUGUAGUGUAGCGGUGAAAUGCUUAGAUAUUACAUGGAAUACCAAUUGCGAAGGCAGGUUACUACUUGUGGAUUGACGCUGAUGGACGAAAGCGUGGGGAGCGAACAGGAUUAGAAACCCCGGUAGUCC
rnacentral:rRNA from 1 species